rnacentral:lncRNA from 1 species
GAAAACACCCUUGCGGGUGCCUCUAGACUUGAAUUUAUUUACGAUACAGUCGUUGUGCCCAAACUUGAACUUAUUUACGAUAUUUUCCAUCUGUCACUGCCUCUUGUUCUUGUGAUUAAUGAAACUUCAUUAGGUGUUAAGAAACUCCAAUAAGUUCUGAAAAAUAUGGUGGAAAUACUGAGAGCAAGUCGGGCCAACUAUUCCUCUGGUUCAAACGACAUUCUUAUGCACAAAUUACCUGUUAGAGUUCGUGGAGAACAAACUUGCCUUUGUUUAAUUUGUAGUCUAGAAUGCUUCAAGCAUGAUAACUGGUUGCGUUAGUGAUAGGAGCAUAUUUAUGCUACUUAAUUGGCUUGUUCUCGUGCAUUUAGGUUGUGUUUACUUAGCUAUUUUAGUAAUUAAAGUCACUUUUGUGUGUUUUCAGGUUCUAAGGUCAAAGUGUGCAAAAAGAAGCAAAAUGGAGCCUUUUGGAGCAAAAGGAAUGGAUGAAUUGAAGUCUUGAAGAAAGUUGGUUUCCUAAUCCAAGAAGGAGUCCUAAUCAACAAAGGAUUCAUAAUUGAAGAUGGAUUCCUACUCACAUGAGGAUUCCUAGAAGAACAAGGAUUCCUACUCCAAGAAGGAUUCCUACUUGAAAUAGGAAAGUUAAGCCAAGGUUUCCUACUUUGGUUUGACCUUUCCUAAAUGUUCCUAAGUCUUAUCAACUUUGAAGACCUCCUAAGCAUUUUAGGACAUCAAAUACACCUCCCUUCCACCAUAUCAACCCUUGCCGCACCUCACAUACCCUUUCCACAACUUCCUCUUCCUUGCCGUGCAAGGGAGAGGGUCCUUUCCUGAUUUUGAGCAUUAAAACACAUUCCUAAUAUGUUUUAAACCCUAGCCGCAUAUUUCCUUGACCUUUCCUUUUAUUUUCUGAUUUGUUUCUGUUGGAAAAUAUUAGUAUUUAGGUUUACUUUAAUAUUUGGUUUUCUGGGCUUAGCCCGUUAGCAUUAGGGUUUAGGGUUAGUUUAUUAUAAAUAGAGUGCUUUGUUAUUCAUUCGAAAUUAAGUUAUUCACAAUGUAGCUUGUUAGGGUUUUUGUAGCCGUUUCGGCAUUCAAUUUGUUUAAUAAUAUUUCUAUUAGUUUAUGGUUUUGUUUGUUCCGCACUCUGAUAUUCAACUUGGUAUCAGAGCAGGUUCAAUCCUUUGGGAUUUAAUCUGCUUGGUCGGGUUGGUAUGUUAUUUGUCAGUUUGUAUGCUAGUUUUUUGUUGUUGGUUUAGUUUGCAGAAGAAAACAAAAAACCUCAACCUUCCACUGCGUCCAGUUCCCUGUGACAUGAACCCUGCACCUCGCCUGCUUAAACCACCGCACCACCAUCUCGCACCAGACCACCAGCCUGCACUCGCAUCUGCCUGAACCGUACCCGCCAUCGUUUCUUCAUCAAAUCACCACCACGCUUCCACCAGAACAACCUGCUUGCACCUGCACCCAGAUCCCUUACCGUCGUCCCGCGCACCCAAUCACCAUCCACCCAGGUUGCCGCUGCUCAUCACAUCCUUGUUGCACUGCCUCCUGAACUCACCGCCGCACAAGACCAAGAAACAUGUUGCUACAGUUCUGAAGAAGCCCAGCAGAAAAGAGAAAAAGGAAAGAAAAAAGAAGAAGAGAGAAAAAAAUGAGAGGAAAAAAAAAAAGGAGAAGAAAAAAAAAUUGUUUGGAGUUUUUUUAGGCCCACACGGGCAAAAGUCAAAAAUAUGGUUUAAGUUUGUUUUAGGCCCGCAAGAAUUGUUGGUUGCCUUGUUUGGAAUUGUUUUCGUUGUUUGUUGGUAUAAUUGAGAUAUGGAAACCUCGUCCGUUUAGUGACGGGUUCUUUCCAUACUCUCAACUCUAGCCAGUUUGCCAGUCAAGUCAAGUCAAGUCAAGUUCGCAAGUUCACCAGUUCGCAAGUCAAGUCAAGUCAAGUUUGCAUACCUGCCUGUCUGUCUGUCCGCGUUGUAGAGCCUGUCUGUCCGCGUUGCGGUGGAGCCUGCCUGUCUGUCUGUCCGCCUAACGGAGCCAGUCCGCAUCUGCUUGUUUGCAAACCCAUGUCGUAUACCGCCAUGAGUUUGACGGGGGGUGUUGGAAAAUAUUAGUAUUUAGGUUUACUUUAAUAUUUGGUUUUCUGGGCUUAGCCCGUUAGCAUUAGGGUUUAAGGUUAGUUUAUUAUAAAUAGAGUGCUUUGUUAUUCAUUCGAAAUUAAGUUAUUCACAAUGUAGCUUGUUAGGGUUUUUGUAGCCGUUUCGGCAUUCAAUUUGUUUAAUAAUAUUUCUAUUAGUUUAUGGUUUUGUUUGUUCCGCACUCUGAUAUUCAACUGUUUCCUAAUUCUAGAAUCCUUAGACUUAAUUUCUGAUUUCCUAAUCAACCUAGAGUUUUAAUUUCUGUUUUCCUUUAAAUAAACCUCCUUGUUGCAGCCACAAGACAUUCCACACACACCCAUACAACUUCAUUCACGCCAUAAACCUUUCCCCUACCUUUGCCGUGACCAUCCUUCACCCAAAUCCAUAUUUUCUGAACCCAAACCCCCCUAGCCGUGCCAUACACCCAUCCUAGACACUUUUCCACCAUUCUACCUCAUCAAAAACCAUCCCAAGCCAUCUCCAUACCUUGUGCCGCAGCAAGAAGGAAGAAGGAGUGCCCUUGAAUGUGCUUGCUAGUCUAUUGCAGAUUGCUGGAACUUUUAGGUGUAAUCUUUCUUAUGUUUUCAAUGUUUCAAUUCAAUAAACCUUGUGUUGUGAGUAUGAGGAACUAAACCCCCUUAGUUGGGGGGUGAUUCGAAACCAUGUACAUGCUUGCAAU